CGGUGAAUACGUUCCCGGGUCUUGCACACACCGCCCGUCAAGCCACGAAAGUCGCCAACACCCGAAGUCCGACAUUAGUCGGCCUAAGGUGGGGGAGAUGAUUGGGGUU
rnacentral:rRNA from 1 species